UACGGGGGGAGCAAGCGUUGUUCGGAUUUACUGGGCGUAAAGGGCGCGUAGGCGGCUUUGCAAGUGACGGGUGAAAUCCCUCGGCUUAACCGAGGAACUGCCUGUCAAACUGCAUGGCUUGAGACCGGGAGAGGUGAGUGGAAUUCCCAGUGUAGCGGUGAAAUGCGUAGAUAUUGGGAGGAACACCAGUGGCGAAGGCGGCUCACUGGACCGGUACUGACGCUGAUGCGCGAAAGCGUGGGGAGCAAACAGGG
rnacentral:rRNA from 1 species